rnacentral:rRNA from 1 species
GUGGGGAAUUUUGGACAAUGGGGGGAACCCUGAUCCAGCCAUGCCGCGUGUGUGAAGAAGGCCUUUUGGUUGUAAAGCACUUUAAGCGAGGAGGAGGCUACCGAGAUUAAUACUCUUGGAUAGUGGACGUUACUCGCAGAAUAAGCACCGGCUAACUCUGUGCCAGCAGCCGCGGUAAUACAGAGGGUGCAAGCGUUAAUCGGAUUUACUGGGCGUAAAGCGCGCGUAGGUGGCCAAUUAAGUCAAAUGUGAAAUCCCCGAGCUUAACUUGGGAAUUGCAUUCGAUACUGGUUGGCUAGAGUAUGGGAGAGGAUGGUAGAAUUCCAGGUGUAGCGGUGAAAUGCGUAGAGAUCUGGAGGAAUACCGAUGGCGAAGGCAGCCAUCUGGCCUAAUACUGACACUGAGGUGCGAAAGCAUGGGGAGCAAACAGGAUUAGAAACCCCGGUAGUCC